rnacentral:lncRNA from 1 species
AAGGCUAGGACGCCUUUCCCCUUCCCCCCAUCCCCACGGCAGCUCUAUGGCUGGGCCCCUCCUCCUGCCCACUCUCUGGUACCACCUAGAGAGCACGGGGCCCACUCCCCAAACCAGACGGCAUGCCCUCCCCUAGGCCAAGAGGACCCGUUAGUAGGCACUGGCUUUCCUGCACAUCCCCUCAACGGGGCUGCCCCCCACAGCAGGUGAGCCCCCACCAUGAGUUUGAGAGACCAGGGCUGCUGGGGCCUGGUCAUGCAGGGCCCGGACAGGGGGCUGUCCCGCUGUGAGGAAGCUCUUGGCUUACCCUCCUCUGAGCCUCAGAGCUUGUGAGGUUAGUUCCUGGGUUCCCUGGGUGUGGGCAACCUCUAGCCCUGUUCAUCCCUUGCGUUUCAACAGUACCCCCAGGUGACCCCCACCCCUGAUGUUCCUGCUUUUCUAUUUUUAUUGUUGCUAAAUCACAGCUGACACUUUCCUGGCCUGAGACUGAGCCCUCCAGUCUCCAGCCAUUCCUUAUAGGAAGUAAGAACAGGGAAGUGGAUAGGGGAAACAGACCUUUCCAGAGGGAGAGGCUGGCAUAGGAAGGGCUGAGUCCCGUGGGUGUGUGCUGGCACCGACAGCCCCAUAGGCAGGGGCCUUCCCCCCGGCACCCUUCUCUCUCCCCACAGCUUCCCCCGCCCCGGAAAAGCUAGCAAGCCUUCCUUCCUUCCUCCGGGAAGCACAUCUAUCCAGAGCAGGCUCAUCCCCGGCGGCCACACAAUGGCCCUUAUCAGCCGUGGAGCCAGGCGUAGACCCAGUGCACACCAGACUACUGAGACCGCUCUGCGGGUGGGUUCAGACCCCAUUCCUGUUUCUGGUCCUGUGGGAAACCACAGGUGCCUGGAACUUUGAAGAGACUGUACCACUUCUCUGAGCCUUGGCUUUCCCAUCUGCCCAAUGAAGGGUGCCAUGCAGUAACCCUCGUGAUGGCUGUGCAUGUGAGAAGGAACAGGUGGGCAAGUGAGGGCUUUGGAGGUCCCUAGGUAUAUGUGUUGGGGGCAGGGAUAGGUUACCAUGGGGGAAAACUCAGCAAGAAGGGGCUGAGGAGAAGUGGGGCAGAAAGAGAAGAUGGUGGCAUUCUGGACUGGUUAACGCAGGCAGAAGGCUCAACACCAGGGUAUGCAGAGCAGCGGGUCAGGAGGGAUGAACAAGAGCUCAUUUGACUUAACAGAGUACAUUAAGCGGCCACCGGCAUAGAUGGCAUGCUCCACCUGGUUAGGGCCCCAGAGGCUCACCAUUCUAGAACCUCAUCCUAGCCCCAGUCCUGGCCACUUCUGCAAAUCUCAGACACAGAAGUCUAGUUGGGAUCUACAGGGUCCCUGUUCCUGGAAUCUACAGCUAGUCCCAGGCCCAUCACCGUACCCCCACCCCCCAAUCAUCAGUCACACGCAAGUGUAAAAGCCACGCUAAUAAUUACCCCUGCACAAUGUAACAGUCACAAAACAGCCAGCCAUGGCCUGCUGGAAGCCAGGGGACAAUUCUUCAUACACAGGCUUGCGGGGGAGAGUAUGCA